GCACUUGAAAAAUCACCUGUGGCUUUGACCCUGUGUGGGUGAGACUUGGUACCCAGAGCCAGCCUCAGCCAGAUGCCCACUUUCUGGUUGGGGGGAGGUGUUGUGAAACCCAGGUGCCUACAAGU